GCUAGCAUGGCAUAGUGGUUUGAGUGUUGGACCAUGACUCUGGAGACCAGAGUUCGAUUCUCAGCUCAACCA
rnacentral:tRNA from 1 species